UUAAAUUUGAUACUUUGGAAUUACAUAAGAGCCUAUACAAAUCAGUCUAGGGCGCUGCCAGACAGACAACGGUGUAAUGCAUAUUUUUAACUUUCUCAUUCUUUGCCUACAAUUUUUAAGCCAUUUGUAAAACGAUACGCGCCGUAGAAUAUAGAAAUACAGAAAUAGCUAACUAACUACGGUAUCCACUAAUGAGGCUGGCAGGCAUGUUGUAAACGCGAAAUGCAACACCGCACUCUCGCAAAUAAGUGUAUCAGUGCAGGAAACCCUUUUUGAGGGAAAACGAGAAACGAAUUGUGGCUGAUUGUGAAGCGGAACUUGAAAACACGAAAAAAACGUUAACUUAAGUUACACCGAAACUAAUACUCGUAUAUAUAGUAGUAGUAUAAAAAAAUUGCUUAAAAAACACGAUUUUGGCGCUCAGUUUGUAUGGCAGCUAUAUGCUAUAGUGAUCCAAUCUGAACAAUUGCUUUGCAGUUUGCACAUUUGUCUUGAAUAAUAACACUUGUCGAAGUCUUGAAGAUAUCUCGCUUUUCCGAUCGUUCAGUUUGUAUGACAGCUAUAUAAUACAGUGGUCCGAUCAAACAGCUUCUGCGGUGAUUACACUGAUAUCUUGGCCCAUAUCGUAAGCUAUGCUCAAUUUUGUGCAGAUAUCUCAUCAAAUACAAAAUGUUUCCAUACAAGAAAUAUGCCAGCUACAUGCUAUUAUGAUCCAAUAUCGGCGGUUUCGGCAAAUGAGAAUCUUCCUGGAGAGAAAAUUAUGUGUGGAAAGUUUCAGAUUGAUAUCUCAAAAGCCGGCGGACUAGAAGGCGUAUAUACAAACAUACGGACAGGCAGACAGACGACCAUGGCUAAAUUGAUUUAGCUCGUCAGGCUGUCGUCGUCCAUAUAAAUUUUAUAUUUUCUCCGACGUUUCCUUCUGAGUAUUAUAAACUUCGAGGCAAACUUAAUAUAGCCUGUACAGGUUAUAAUUAAGGAAACAAAGUUCGGUUAGAUACACCAGUUAUAUAUCCAUAUAGCUGAAAGUGACCGUGAAAAACGCUUAUCCUAAGGAAAUGUAAAAAAAUCCCAAGGGGUUAAUUUUAGAUGUUACGAAAGAUGUUGAAGAAAGGUUCCAGAUAACCAUUUGCAGUGGCAGCGUGUGCAAAAUAUUUAAAACAACUGGUUGUCAAAGACCAGGCGCACGGAAGAAGCCAUUUAUAUCAUUAAAGAACAGGUCGGCAGAGUUUUGGAAACGGGUUUUUCUCAGAUAAAAGCAAAUUUUGCAUAUUUGAAAUAAAAGAACAGAAGCUUGUUUGAAGAAAACCUGGUACUGCACUUAAUAAAAAAAAUAAAAAUAAACAGCAAAACACGAUGGUGGUAAUAUGUUGUGGCGGUUGAUAUCUAUAUCUGGUUAUUUCGGUUCCCCGAAAAUAAAAAAGACACGAUGUUUCAAGGUCAGUCAUGCAAAAGCAAAAUGGCGGAUAAAAGAUGCCACUAUCUUAUCUUCGUCAAUCCAAUCUUGACAGUUAGCGUGGGACAAAAUUUUCAGCAUGCAGGCCUAUUGAGCAAUGACCGGUAAGAUCUUCUACGAUUGCUGUAAGUUGAACCUUACUAAAAGCAAGUAUAAUAGUGAGUGAAAGUUCCGUGCUUAUGCAGAAGGACCAGCGUCUGUCACGCUCAGAUGAAGUUCAGAGGUCCAGCGACGAUAGAGGGCAACAACGUUCUCAAUCCGACGCAAUCGGGACAAGGCUAACCCAAAAAACAGCCUCCUCCUACUGCAGUAAAUUACAUCAAACACUACCUAACUACACCGCAAU